AUUGGUCAUAGAACUUGCCCCAUGAUUUAAUCAGUUGACUUGUGACCUUAAGAAUGUAUUUUAAUAAACAAAUCCAUUAUAACACUCAUAGAAAGGCGUAAAAGUUAAUAAACAGUUUGGACUUAUAGCAGUUUGAUAUGCCCAUACAAGACUUAUGCUGUUUUGAUAUGAGUCAUAAGGACUUAUAGUUGUUUGUAAAAUACUAAUAUCAUGGGCCGGACUCAGUAAGACUAAUAUAGUCUAUAUUCUAUUAAAUACAAUGAAGUUAAUCAACCAAAAUUUAUCGGUAGAAAAGUACCUACCUACCGUAUUAUAUUCUACCCGAUACGGCCCUGUGUUUACUACGAAAAUGCUUUGUGAUUGACACGUGGGUUGGAAAAAAAGGGGUUUUAAACUUACUUCGACAUAGUUUUCUGUCGUUUUUUUUGCUACACUCUUCAAUCUGUUCCUUUUCCGAGCUUUAUCAGGGUCCACAAUCACAAUUUCUUCAACAUAUUCAUUCAUAUUCGUUAUAAAACACUGGGAGCACACACCAUAGGCUCGAAAUUCUCACCAAGACUGACGCCAUGUUGAAAAAAUUACGCUCUGUGAUUGGCCGAAAUGGACUUGUGAAAAUUUGUAAUGCGAAACGGUUAGACUUAAAAGGAUUUGAAAAAAACUUACUUUUUUAACGGCUUUUUUCUCAUGGAUGCCUUGCACUUAUUGGAACUUGAAGGGCAUAGGCAAACUGACAUUUUAACGGAGAACACGACCAAAUCAAAAAGUCAAUUUUUCGGGUAGGUGGACAUAUGGCAGUUUGAUAUUCAUCCACUCAAUUGAAAUAUUUCCUUGUAA